rnacentral:SRP_RNA from 2 species
GCCGGGCGUGGUGGCGCACACCUGUAAUCUCAGCUACUUGGGAGGCUGAGGCAGGAGAAUUGCUUGAACUUGGGAGAUGGAGGUUGCAGUGAGCUGAGAUAGUGCCACUGCACUCCAGCCUGAGCUACGAAGUGAGAUUCUGUCUCAA